GGGCGAUUAGCUCAGCGGGAGAGCGCUUCGUUCACACCGAAGAGGCCGACAGUUCGAUCCUGUCAUCGCCCA
rnacentral:tRNA from 1 species